ensembl:lncRNA
CUUAAUAGUCCUGUAAAGUCAUGUAAAGAUGGAUAGCAAAGUAUCGGCAUACAUGGCCAGUCUAAGACGCACGUGUGGGAGUGUGUGGAAAUUAUUUAAGACUGCUAGUAAUGUAUCAAGGUCUUUCAAAUUGUAAAUCUAUCACUGAUGACACGUUGUGUAACAAACGAACGCGCCUGCUUGUGUAAGACAGUUUUGUAAGGUAAGACUUUAUUAGCCCCUCCCUCGUGAGGUGCAUCGGUACACAUAUAUAAUUGGUAUACAUAUGCAAUAUAUAUAUUGCAGAAAUAUGACAAGCUGCAAUUUAUCUGGUUUGUUAUCACGGAGCUUCCGAAGCUUUCCUCAGUAGACUAGUUUUGAUCAUGUCAAUUACUGCACCCACCGGCGAAGUUCAUGAUCAAGUGCCGCAUCAUGAAACGAAGAGGACUGAGUAUAAUCUAGUUCAGGUAAAGGGGACGUGGACGAGAAAGAAUCGAAAAACUUUAAGGAAGAAUGAAAAUGAACGCGUGUCAUCUGCCAAAAUACAUGAAUGCAGUGAAGGAAGGGGGACAACCUGGACAGUGGUCAGUCCCAUUGUCUUCACCUAUCAGGUGAUCCAGACCCAAAACCUGCUGGAUCCCAGCAAUGACGCCCUCCUGACUGGCCACAUCAGAGACCCCCAGCAGCUGGAGCUUCUCAGAGGCAGCCACAAGCCUCUUAAACGCUUUGUGGUCAUGGACGAGACAGUCUUCAAGCUGUAUGGCUGCCAAGUCACUGACUACUUUGAGAGUCGCGAUGUCUUGUACAGAAUCCUUCCCCUACCCACAACGGAGGAGAAGAAGUCGAUGGAAAUGGUGAUGAUGAUGCUCAAUGAGGUCCACAAGUUUGGCAUUGACAGGCGCACAGAGCCGAUCAUCGCUAUCGGUGGCGGCGUGUGCCUGGACAUCGUGGGCCUUGCUGCUUCGCUAUACAGAAGGCGCACCCCUUACAUCCGAGUGCCAACCUCUCUCCUCUCAUACAUUGAUGCCAGCGUGGGGGCCAAGAAUGGGGUGAACUUUGCCAACUGUAAAAAUAAGCUUGGCUCGUAUAUUCCACCUGCUGCUGCACUUUUGGACAGGUCCUUUAUUCAAACAUUACCACGAAGGCACAUCUCAAAUGGUAUGGCUGAAAUGCUCAAGAUGGCGCUGAUGAAGCACAAAGGGCUCUUUGAGCUGCUGGAGGAGCAAGGUCGAUUCCUGCUGGACUCCAGGUUUCAGUCCAACAACGUAGACUUGACCUCAGCGGCUGCAGUCACCACUAGGGUGGCAAUCGAGACCAUGCUGGAAGAGUUGGCCCCAAACCUCUGGGAGGACGACCUAGACAGACUGGUGGAUUUUGGCCACCUAAUAAGUCCUGCGCUAGAGAUGGAAGUGCUUCCAGCACUUUUGCACGGGGAGGCCGUGAACAUCGACAUGGCCUUCAUGGUGUACGUGGCCCAUGAGAGGGGCCUGGUGACCGAGGACGAGAAGCUUCGGAUCGUCGACUGCAUGCUGGGGCUGGAGCUCCCCGUGUGGCACCGGGGCUUCACGCUGGCCCUGGUCCAGAGGGCGCUGCGCGAGCGCCUCAGACACUCCGGAGGGCUGGUGAGGAUGCCUCUGCCCACCGGCCUGGGCUGUGCAGAAAUCUUCAACGACACAGACGAUGAAACCCUGUGCCAUGCGUAUGAGAGGUGGUGUGAUGAGCUGGGACCAGGACUUUCCUCGUGAACCUUGACAUCUUAUGAGUUUAUGUUUGACUUCUGUUCCAGCAGCAUUAGGUAUAGUGAUGCCAAGAUCUAUUCUUUUAACAGGCUUUCACCCUGUCACUACUUCUAUAGGUCAUGUGUUCAGUACUUUUGUUCAAAUGGGAUUUCUGAUAGAACUGAAACAUGUGAAUGUAUAUGAUAUUAGUUUAAUAUGGGAUUUUCUAGGUGCUCUUAACCUUUCAAUAAGUCAAACUAUUAAUGUGUAAGGAAUCCAAAUACUGACAUAUUAAACUUUAGUCUGUUAUAACAUGGUAUAUAUUAGCAAAUAUAUCUAACAACUUUUUGUUAUAUAGUUGAUAUAUAUUUGUGUUGCUAACAUGUAUUCUAAAAGCUUUUCUUUGGCGCUUUGAGACCCAUGUUUAAGAUUAUUCAGUGUAAUAUCUAAAUAAACGGAAAAUAUAGAUUAAUGUCUAUCCUGUAACUAUGAUCCACUAUCCACUUGGACUUGGAUCUUCCGGGAGAAAGAUCAUGGACAUCUCAUGAUUCGAUGCAGAGGUGACUUAGGACACCAUCUCCAAAGGUGCCGAUUUUACUUAACUAACUUCAUCAUUUUGAUACCAUUCAGAAUUAUAAAAUACACUGAAUACACAAAUGUGACUAGUAAAAUAAGGACAGAACAGAAAAGGAAAAAAAAAGCUUUUUUUUUAUUUGAAAAUAGGCUGAGAAUUCUAUUUUGGGAAUAGGCAUAUACUUAAUCGAAAACUAUUG